rnacentral:lncRNA from 1 species
GGUGCCGGAGGUAUCUGUGAAGUUCAGCGUGUACUGACCUCCGGCGAGCGUGUUAACAGGGCCGGCGCCGCUCAGGUUCUUGAAGUCUGAAAGCGAGUAGUAAUGUGGCAGCGCGUGGAAAAGACAGAGCUGUUUGAGCUGAUCGGCGGUGAGGUUUGACAGGGAGGGUUUUUUCAGGGAAGUAAAUGCUUUGUCUUUGGGUACAAACAGAGUGAUUCCUUCUUCUGUGUUGUUGGCUUGAUUUUGUAGGGUUUCGAUGACUUUGGUUGAUUCAAGGUAUUUAAGGAAGGUAGAGAAAGGACCAGCGACGCUCAGGAGCUCGGUGAGGUUAACGUAGUCCGGCGCUGGUGCCGGUGCCGGAGUUGGUGUCAAGAUAAUCGGCGGUGACUCGGCGGCCAAUGUUGCUGCUUGUGCAUAUGCAAACAGGAGUGUGGUAAAACACAUGAAAAUCUUGAUCGAAUCCAUGUUCUUCAAGACCUCAAUCAACACCAAUCCUGCAAACAGAAAAACCCAUUCGACAAAUUGAUCAUGGAAAGAAACGGUGUUUGACUUUUUCAAGUCAAUCGAGUUGCUUCUUGAGUUGAGAAUUUAUAAAAAUUGUUUCAAUUUUCUCUAAUAGCAGAAUGAUAAUGAACUAAUUUAAAUAACAGGAAUCAAAAUGGAAAAAUUUGUAGCUAAUAAUUCCAACGCUAGAAGAUCUUAUGACAGAAUUUAAUGGUUUUGACUUUCGAAAAUUGGACUUCACUUGAGCAAGUUGUAUCAUAUGUUUGUGAAGUUACAAAAUUACCCUCUAAUUAAAACAGAGUUUACCAAGAAAUGAGGAGAUACGAUCGGAAGAAACAGGUUCAAAAUUUGUUCGUAAGAUCAAAUCUUUCCUUUCCUGGUGAUUUUCAAAUUCAAGAAAACAGAUCUACUACCUAAAAAGAACAAACUAGUUGAAGAGUUUAAGAUCGAAAUUCUUGAAUCGAUAUGAAGCCAAAGAUCCAACAUCAGAGAUCAAAGAUCCCAUCUCCAAUUAUUAAAAAAAACCAACAAUUUGAUUUGCAUUUCAAGAUCAAAGCUUCGUUUAUCAGCAACACACUACUGAAAUAAUCAAAGAAAACUUGCAAGACAGAGAGUAGCUACACUCCACAUUCAACAAUGUGCUUCGUAAAGAUAACAUACAUAUACAUACACACAUACAUACAGAUGCAGAUCUAGAUCUAUUCAUGAAGAAAAAGCAAAAAUCGGUAAUAAAAAGCAAUACCCACUUCAAUUAUACAAACAAUAACACAAUGCAAUCAUCAAAUCUGAUACGAUUAUUGAAUUGCGUGAAUCGAUUGAGAGGAAAAAGACUGACCGUUGGCAGGAAAUACUCAGGGAGAGAAGGGGAGAGUAAAGGUGAAGUAAGAUGAUAAUGCACUGGAGAGUGGAAUGUAUGAGAGAGUAUAAAUAAGAGGGUUUUCUUAAUAAAACUACCAUUUAUUGAGUGGCAUUUGGUACAAGUCAAGAGAACAAGCAAAAGUUCGUAAAGUCUACACAAAUUUAAAAAAAAAAAAAAAAAAAUGGUUUGGUGUCACAUUCCUAUAAUCUUAUAUGACAUUUAUGAGAAACAAACAAUUAAAUUUUAAUCUGUGAGGAAUUACAGAGUUCAUAGAAAGAUUUAAUACCUCGGAUCUAUGACGAUAGUACAAAUUCUUUUAGUUAAGAUUCAGUUUUCAAUAUUUUUUUGAUUCUUUGUAAAAUUGCUUGUGUUUUUAUAAAUCAUGUGAAUUAGUGAAUUGCGUCAAUCAAUCUUGUAUAUUUUUAAUAUAAUCAUGGUUUUCUUUUAUAGCAUGUGUUACUUAUACAUAAUGAGACAUUGCUUCUGUUUUACAUACUAAUUCUCUAUGUUUAACGAAAAAGUAAUAAUAUAAGAGGCAAAUAUCAACCGACAAAUGAAGUACAUAAGUUAAUGUUUCUUCAUUUUGUCUUUUAGAAAUACGAUUCCUCCUUAAUAAUGAUAGUAUUAGUUUUGACGUGUAAUUAUUAUAGUGUUUCAAUAUUGAAGGUGGGCUUUCUCAAUCAAAGAACUCUCUCAACUAAUUCACCUAUUUAAAAUCAAAUAAAACAAAUAGUGUUUGAAAUGUCCGAUCUUGCACUCUACCCUACCACCGUCACAAAAUCUUCAAAUGAGGUGGNUUUUUUUUUUUUUUUUUUUUUUUUUUUUUUUUUUUUUUGAUUUUUCUUCGAGUGAGGGGGUGUUGUUGGGAUUAAGAUGAGCCCUCCUAUAUUGGCCAAAUUACAAUUUUCAUAGGUAGGCUUGGUUGGUUACAUUUUUUUUAAUAAAAUGGACAAAAGCCUUAUUGGCACGACUUCGACAAAAAAUAGCCCCACAAUUAAUUUUUUUUUUUUUUUAAAAAUAACCAUAUAUUUCAUAACGAAGUCUACAAAAUUCACAUGUCGUUUGUGCCAUAAGGUUUAGUAUUGGAGCUGCUAUUAAAUUUUGGAUCUUAUUGGGAAAUUACCUAGUUUGAAAAUCGUUUGUCGGUUUCGUGUCAGUAGGUUUCACAAUAAUACUGCAAAAUAAUCCUUACGAAAUGGAUUUUUUUUGUACAAAAAUAAAUGUAAAUGUAAUUUUCACAUUGAUAUCCAAGCCUUCAACAAACAUUCUUACCCAAAAUGAGUGCAUAAGGGCGGAGUCAAAUUUUUUUUUUUAAGAUGUUCCUUAUAAAAUAAUUGAAAUAUAUAUAUAUAUAUAUAUANNNNNNNNNNNNNNNNNNNNNNNNNNNNNNNNNNNNNNNNNNNNNNNNNNNNNNNNNNNNNNNNNNNNNNNNNNNNNNNNNNNNNNNNNNNNNNNNNNNNNNNNNNNNNNNNNNNNNNNNNAUAUAUAUAUAAUGCACUGGGAUCGAACACUUCUCGUAUGAUCAAAGAUAUAGUGUCUUGCUGCUGAACUACAUGUGUUUAUUGACUAACUUACACCUAAAUAAUAUCAUAUUUCUAUAUGCAAAAAAAAUGAAAUUUUUUGGGUGGCCUGGGCCUACCCUGGUCCUAAGGUGGCUCCGCCCUUGUGCAUCUACCAAGUUAUUUGUAGGUAUUUGGAUUGAAGUGUUGUGACACAUAAUCAACAUCAUUAAUUAGGACCAAAUAUGAUAAAUUAGGGUUUAGAUUUUUCCUCGUAUGUAAACAUUUUUUGGUUGGUUGAUUUGGUGAAAAUAAAGUUAUGUUUAGAAGAAGAUAACAUCUGUUUAUAUUUAUAGCAUCCUUGGCUUGAAAUAUGUUAUAACCAUAAUUAAUAAAAGCGAUCACUUACUAAAUGUUGUUCAUGUUGUGUGUAAAAAGGUUGUAUAUAUGUAUCUUGUAGAUGAUAUCCUUGUACAUAGAUAUGAUGCAAGGAAUCAAUCCGAUGAUGGUGAAAACUGAUUUCGUGGAAAUUUAUCAUGUAUAGGAAGCAACAAUCAAAGAGAUAUUUUCAUUUCAUAGGAUGUCUCAUGAUGUAUUAUAUGAAACACCAGGAGCAGGUAUUCAUAUGUUCUCCAUAUAAUGCAAGUAUAUCGGUGAUGUCGAAUUUGCUACAUGUGGAGAUGUUGAUAACUGAAACGUGUUCCGCUUUGUUAACGAUUCCACUCAAGAUCUUCACAGAGAGCCAUUAGAAUAUUGUUUGGGGAUAUAUGACCUUGAAAGACAAUUUUUUUAGGAAUAUUAGUCGGAGGAUGAAGAUAGUGAAGGUGGAAUAAGAACAUCUUUUCGAGUAUAUAUCCCUAUAACUAUCAGACUCUAUUUAUCCAUCCACAUGACAUCAUACAACCACCAACUAAUAACACAUAUAAUAACCUAUAAUUUUACAGAAAAUAAAUUCUUAAACUAUAUAUAAUGCUGAUUUGUAGUUAAAGGGGUUUUCAGAUAAAAAAAAGGUUUAUAAAAGAUUGGUUUAAGGCAACAUGUGUAGGCUAAAAUUGUAAAUGGUACAUUUAGGUUACCUUAGUUCAUAAUUUCCAAGUUUGAAAAUUUGUUGACGAACAUAUUUAUUCCAAAAUUCAAUUUCACCCCAAUCAUUGCCAACCAACAAAAUGUGUCAAUGCAUUUGGAGCUUAAAUGACAAUUUGUGUAGCGUCCCAAAAAUUAAGACUAAAAAUUUUGAUUUUUAAAUUAAUAAAACCAUAUUCCAAAACAACACCAUAGAAACCAUGAUGAAUCAAAGUGUAUCAAUAAACAUCCAUGUAACAUCCAUAAAAAUCACAAAAAUUUAAACUUUUUUAAAACAACUUCAAAUCAUAGAAUGUUUACAAAAUCAUUGUUUUAAAAGUAUUGUUCCAUAUCAGAUUAUCCUAUAGAUCAGAAGUACAUAAAACAGAGGAUGUGUACGGUCACGCCUUCGCCUUAUCGCGAUCAUCUGAAAUACCUGAAACCAUAACUAAAAACCAUAAGCCAAAGCUUAGUGAGUUCCCCCAAAGUACCAACACAUAAACACAAAACAUAUAUAAUAACAACAUGUCGGGUCCAAUCAACCAUUAGGUUGGAACAUCCCAGACCCAAUCAAUCAUCGGGUUGGAAUGCCAAUAUACUAUAGGUCCAGUCAAUCAUCAGGUUGGAACACCUCGUACAUGGGGCAUACUCUAGGUAUGCGGGGCCCAAUCAACCAUCCGGGUGGAAUACCCCAGGUUGGAAUGCCAAUAUACAACGAGUCCAAUCAUCCUCGCGAUGGAAUACCCUCAGGCCUAAUAAACCAUCGGGUAGUAAUAUCGCCGGUUUAUUGGCUCACACACAAAGCAGUAAAGCCUCAACCACCAACCAAAUAUGUGCACAUAUAACAUAUAAACAUAUAAUCAGUUAACAGACAGUUAGGCAUAUCUACAGAUCACUAAGCAUAACAUCAUCCUAUCUACCAGGAUACAGAUCACUACAGCAUGAUAACAUACUAUCACAUAACGGGAUAUCUAAUCUAAUGGGCUAGCCUUGGUGUCUUUGACCUGUAAGUACAGGGAGGAACAACUCACCUCACAGACUGAACAACAACUGAUGUGAUCCCAACUCCAAAUCUCAGCUCUAACUGUCACCUAUCCAACUAAAUGACUAAUCUCAAUCAAAAUCCCAAAAUACCUUAAGUCAAACUUGGUAAAAAUUGGUCAAAGUCAAAGUCAAAGUCAAAAUUGUCAAAUCAAUUGAGUCAACCCAGCUGAGUCACCAAAGAGUAAGUACGUAGGGCGUACUCCAAAUGUACGUUAGGUGUACUCGGAUGUUGACCACCAUUGGGAUGGUUGACCUCGUACAUGGGGCGUACUCUAGGUACAUGGGGCAUACUCCCAAACUCCCAAAAUCCACAUUAAGAGCUUAAUGGAUUAAGAUCUCACAUCCAUCUUUCAAAUCCAUGGCUAAAAUACCCUAAAGAGUCAUAAAGUUUCCAACUUUAUGACUUUUCAUGUACAUUAAGUGCUUAACUCCACUUCUUAAUCCAUUAAGACCUUCUAAAUGAUGCAUGGAGCAAAACCAACCAUUUGGAGCCCAUUUUUAUGACUCAAGACUCUUCCAAAGGUCUGAAAGGCCAACUUAAUGGGUCAAGAAAAUGCUAUGUUCAUGAAUCUCCACAUUUAGGACAAAAAGGACCAAAAACCAUUCCAACACAAGAUCUAAAUGAAACUUCACCAAGUUCAGAACUUGAUACCUCAAAAUGGUGUCCAAAGGUGGUGUGAUCCUGGAUCCAAAGAGCUUCACUCCUCCUAGGUGGCCUCUUCUUCCUUCCUUCUUCUUCAAGAGCACAAAACACACACUCUCUAGCUUAGAAAUGCUUCACAAGAUGGAUUAGGGUUGGAAAACAUAUCAAGAGGAUGGAGGUUGAUGAGGUGAGGGGAAAUGAGGCUAUAAUGGGGUUUAAAUACGAGCCAACCCCUCCAAAAUUAGGGUUUGCAAGCUUGACACGUACGCCCUACAUACACAUGUACGCCCAGUGUACCAGGGCAUGCCCAAUGUACUAGGGCGCACCCUAGUAGGCUCAUCAUACAUACGUACACAUGACAUACUGUCUCAGCCUCCGAUUACGAAAAUUCCACUAGGGCCUUAAUUGCACACUUUCUUGCACUUAGGGUCUGAAUUGCAGUAUAAUAAAUUUUUAGGGUCAAAAUUAGAAGUACCUUAUCAUCAGGAUGUUACAACUCUCCCCCACUUGGUCUAGACUUCGUCCUCAAAGUCAGUUACGGCGAAUAACUUAAGAUAAUGCUCCCGCAUCUUAGCCUACGGCUCCCAGUCUAAUCGGAGCCUCUCCGAUGCUGCCACCAUACCUUUACCAAAGGUAUCUCCUUGUUGCACAGGACCUUCAUCUUCCUUUCCAGAAUAGCCAUUGGUCUCCACAUAGUUCAGGAACUCAUCGACAAAAAUAUCAUCCAACGUAACCACUACCUUGCUGUCCAACAUACACUUCCGCAACUGAGAGACAUGGAAAGUAUUGUGGAUCUGACUAAGCUCGCUCGACAGAUCUAACUUGUAAGUUACUUUGCCAACCCUGGCAAUCACCUGAAAAGUUCCAAUAAACUGGGGACCCAAUUCCCCCUCUUCCUGAACCGUAUCACACCCUUCCAUGGUAAGACCUUUAGGAGCACCAUAUCACCGACCUGAAACUCCAACUUUGAUCGGUGUCGGUCUACAUAGCUCUUCUGCCGACUCUAAGCGGUCUGUAGUCUCUGCCUGAUCUGCUGAAUAAGCUCCGUGUUUUGAAGGUCUACUUUGGUCUUUCUUAUAACCUUAUGACCAACCUCUCCCCAACAAACCGGGGUACGACAUCUCCGACCAUACAAGAGCUCAAAUGGCGGAGCACCAAUGAUGGAGUGAUAAUUGUUGUUGUAGGAGAUUCCACAAGAGGUAGGUAGCAAUCCCAACUCCCACUGAAAUCAAUAAAACAACAUAUCUACAAGGGUCUAUAUAGUUCUCCCACUCUUGUCGUUAGUCUGCAGAUGAUAUGUAGUGCUGAAAUGUAACCUCGUGCCUAGUUCCUCGUGGAACUUCUGCCAGAAACGGGAAGUGAACUGAACAUCUCCGUCUGAAACAAUGGAGACUGGAACCCCAUGACGAGCAACGAUCUCCCGGAUAUACACGUUGGGAAACUUUUCGGCCGAAGAGCUCUCCCGGAUGGCGAAGAAGUGAGCACUCUUGGUCUACCGAUCCACGAUGACCCAUAUAAAAUCAAAAAACUUGGUCGUCUUUGGCAUCUUGGUGAUAAAAUCCAUGGUUAUCUAUUCCCAUUUCCACAUGGGAACCUCUAGAUAUUGUAGCUUUCCAUGAGGCCUCUGAUGCUCGGCCUUGACCAUCUUGUAAGUCAAGAACCUCUCGACAUACCAGACUAUCUCUCUCUUCAUACAUGACCACCAUUAACUCAAUCUCAAAUCUCGAUACAUUGUGGUGGCCCCUAGGUGAAUAGAAAAAAGAGACUUAUGAACCUCCACUAUUACAAUCUACUUGAUCCCACUAUAAACUAGAACCCAAACCCGACCACACAGGGUCAAUAACCCUUCGACUAUUCGCGAAAAACCAGUCGAUCUCACCCCUGAUCCUCUCCUGUUUCCAGUUCUCCUUCCAAACUCCCUCUGCUUAUGCAUCUCUGAUCAAUCCCAAAAGCAGAAAAUAUAUGGAUAUCCUCAUACACACCUCCCCGACCGAAGACCCAACCAACUUGCAGCUCAAAGCAUCUGCUACCAUAUUCACUUUACCCAUAUGGUAAAUGAUCUCCCAGUCAUAAUCCUUGACCACGUCUAGCCACAUGCGCUGCCUCAUGUUCAGGUUUGGCUAAUCCAUAAGAUAUCUCAAACUCUUGUGAUCUGUUUGGAUUGUACAACGGACCCCAUAUAUAUANNNACAUAAACUCUCUCUCUCUCUCUCUAUAUAUAUAUAUAUAUAUAUAUAUAUAUAAUGUCUCCAAAUCUUAAGGGAAAAAACCAUUGCCCCCAACUCCAGGUCAUGAGUGGGAUAUCGCGUCUCAUGCGGCUUCAGCUGCCGCGAAGCAUAAGCAAUCACUCGUCCUUUCUGCAUAAGGACCGCCCCUAACCAGCAAUGGAUGCAUCACAGAAUACCACAAAACCUCAAAUCCCUCUGGAAUGGUCAAUAAUGGGGCCUCACAUAACCUCUGUAGAAGGGUCUCAAACGUCGACUGUUGCUCAAGGCCCCAUCAAAAAUCGACCCCCUUCCUCGUCAGACGAGUGAGGGGUACCACAAUCUUGGAGAAAUCCUAAAUAAAUCUUUGAUAGUACCCUGCCAAACCCAAGAAAACUUGAUAUCUAAGGGAGAUUUCAGAACCUCCCACUACAUCACAACCUCGAUCUUGGCCAGAUCGACCAAAAUCCCAUCCUGGUUAACGAGGUGCCCCAGGAACUGGACCUCUUGUAACAAAAACUCACACUUUGAGAACUUGGCAUAUAGGCUUUCCCAACUCAAAAAUCCCAGAAGCUCUCGAAGGUGCUCCUCAUGCUGCUCCCUAGUCUGGGAAUACACCAGGAUAUCAUCAAUGAACACGAUAACAGAUCGGUCGAGCAUCGGCCUGCAUACCCGAUUCAUCAUAUCCAUAAAUACAACAGGCGCAUUAGUGGGCCCAAAUGGCAUUACCAUGAACUCGUAGUGCCCAUAACGAGUCCGAAACGCAGUAUUCUCCACGUCAUCCUCUCUCACUCUCACCUAAUGAUACCCAUACCUCAUAUCUAUCUUGGAGAACCAAGAUGCACCCUACAACUGAUCAAAGAGGUCAUCAAUCUGUGGAAGGGGAUUGUUGGGUUAUGGGCAUUCUAACACUCCUAAGUGUACAUGCAACCCUAAAUACCUUGGAUCUAUGUUUUCUCUAUUAUACAUGCAAAUAUGAAUAUUCCAAGGUAUUACCCUAACUAGCAUACAAUCUUUUGAUACUUGGGUAAUAUAACAAGUUAGAAUACAUACCUCUUGAUGUAGCUUGACUCCAUGAUGCUCGAGAGCCUAGUUCCCCAAGUGUGACACCUCAAAUGGUUCACACAACAUCAUCAACACUUGGAAUAACCAUGAGAAGAAGACACUUCAUGCUCAAAUCGGCUAGCCCUCAUACAAGUAUCAGUAGUGCCAAUUUCUUGAGCUAAAGGGGUCUUUAUAUAGUGUGGCUAUUAGGGUUAUACCAUGUAACUCAUGACUUUACCCAUUCCUUAUGCUCCAUGGGUUUUAACCUCCAUGGAGUAUCCAUGGGUCACCACAUGGGUUAAACACAACAUAAGGAAUCUUGGAUCAUAAGCCCACAUAUAUAAGAAGGAAUGAUUUACAAAAUCAAUCCCCAUAUAUUUAAUUAGUAUCUUUUUUUAUCACUAAAUUAAGUCCAAAUUAAUUCUUGAUCAAUACUAAUUAAAUAACGUGAUUUCAUAUUAAUAUAUUAGAACUUAUAAUAUAUUAAUAUGUCACAAAUGCCCUCUUCUCACAAACGGUCUAUCCAAAUGUUCCGAUGCCAUGCAACCCAAAUGGACCAUGCCGAGUCGGGUCAAGUACAUACCAAUUAUAGUUAUGGACUUAGACACUAAUCCAACAGUCUCCCACUUGGAUAAGUCUAAAACUAUUAUUGAGUAUGACUUCAAAACCUAACUGGCAAUCGUAGCUCUCAAAAGCUUCUGUCGAACUCUGACCUUGUAGAUGAACUCUGACCUUUGUCAAUGACUUGUCCAUUAGAUAAGGGAUCAUAUAUUCCUCCAUUCUAGAUAUCAUAUGGACUGAGACAUGGAUUAUAAUCAUUCUCUCUGUCCAUUUGUUGUUUCCCGAUUUCCGAUUUAUGACGACUGACUAAUUGAACAAAUCAAAUCAGUCCUGGCCCGGCCGAGCACUUCCAUUUGUCAUCAUUAAAUCAUCGAGGGGCCCACAGAUAUCGCUUUUAUCCCGAAGGUAAAAGGAAUGGAUAAACUUCGACUCAUAUGGUUUGUUCUACUACUUGUUGAAUCAUACACAAAGGCACGUUUUAUAACAUCGAGUUACCGAAUGUGUUUUCGUGCAAUCAAUGUACAACCAACUCAUAGUAACAACUCAUAUCUCUAGGUUUGAAGAAUAUAAGAUAUUAUCGUCUCACGAUCACUCGUGAUAAAAUCCAUGAAGUGAUUCAAAUGAGCGCGGGUUGAAUCCAGUACUCAGAACUUAUGAGCACUCAUGAGUGUUGUAGCACAACUUUGUCCACCAACUUGGACCUCUACAAUCCAAUCCAUGACAGUAUUGAUUCAUAUCUACUUCCAACAUAUGACUGAAUGUGGAUGGUUUGAAAGACUUAGUUAUUCCGGAAGAAUAACCUAGUUAUUAUGGAAGCCAAAACAUGUGAAGUGAAACACAAUAAUAAAUGAAUCAAAUAUGGUAUCAAACCCUAUGAAUAUAAAUAGACCACUUUUAUUUAUCACCAUACUGAUUACUCAUUAUUCAUUGUUUCGGUUUUAUCAACUUUAUACCUGAAUUAAAAACACUAGUUGUCCCAUGCUCCAAGCAUGUACACUAUGUUUUUCUAAACAAUAGCUUUGCCAUACACCAAGUAUGCAAUCUAUGUUUAUCUAUGAUCCUUACUUUGUGACCUAGAUCGAUUGAACGUAAUUUCAAUGAUUCUCUUUUCACACUUUCAAAUCCUUGUCGUAAAUGUAAGAAUUCCUAACAUUUAUCGAAAUCUGUUUAGAUUUUAGACUUAUAUGCACUGUUCCUCUUGUAAUGAUUCUGCAUAAAGCCACAAAGACUUGGCAACAAUCAUUACAGAAUAUUCCAAUGGAGAGCAAUUCCAUGAAAACGAUGUCUCAAAUUCAAAGUGCAUUGCUUUGAACAUGCUUCUUGCAUUAAGUUUCUUUAACCUUACACAGAUUGCUUCCACCUAUGAAGACAACUCUAUAUUUCCAUUUUGACUACCACUUGUGAACAAGAGUUGCCUCUUUUCAGACUAUGUCAAUAUGGUCCUUCCAAUAUUAACAAUAUACUUCCAACUGUCCUUGAGCAACCAAUCUUUGGUAAACCUUAGAUUGUCCUCGACAAUUGCUUAAUCACAUUAUUCAUAUCCAAUUCUAUACAUUUUCCUCCUUAAUGCCCCAAGGCAUUUGGAAAAUUUAGAAAUAAUAAAUAUUAUAGCACAUGAAAUCGAUCUUGUACCCAAAGUAAAUAGGACACGAUUCAUGAUGUUUCACAUAAAGACAUGGUUCUAGACCAAUCUUUUGCCAUAAUAAUUUUUUGUUUGCUAUAUUCUCAAAAUUUGACUAUGAAAAGGGAUGCCGUAAUCAUAAUCGAAUUUUGAGAACGCAAUAUAUAGAAUUUCUUAAGUUGAACCAAUCCAACAUGAAAUUCAUAUAUAAAUUCUUGACUAAAGGUGAUUAAAAUCUCAAUAUAAGCUCUUUAGAAUGAUUAUAAACUCAAUCUAAGCUUUUAGAAUUGAAAUGAAGUAUAAUUUCCUCUCCCUUAAUUAUAGCAGAACAACUUUUUCAACUCCUGCAACCUCAUAAAUUGAAACUUUUUUUUUCUAUAAUUAACAUUGCUGACUUGCAAUACUUAUCAUAAUUAUCAUGCUCCUACUAAGAUGAUAAUUAUUAGCAUAACACUUAUGCUCCCACUAGCUUCUGUAACAUCCGGAUAUCCAGGUAUGGGAAUUUGAGUAUUUUUAUAUUGGGGAAAUGAGGAGACUCGGCGAGUUGNCUCAACUCGUCGAGUAGGAUCGUGUUUUGGGGACUAGUUUAAUGAAGGGACUCAACGAGUCGGGUAUUUGGACUCGCCGAGUCGGUGCUGUCAAGGAAAACCCUAAUUGUCCGGGUUUGGGACCUAUUUAAAGGCCCUUAUGGCCUUCAGUGGCGGCCACCUACACCUUUGAGAGACUCCUAUCGAACCAGAGAGCUGAGAGAGUGAAGAAGAGCCAUUUUGGAGCAUUCUUGAGGUGGUUGUGCAAUGGAGUAGUCAUUUCCAGCAAAGGGAGGUCAAGGGGGUGUUGAUUUAGAGCUUCUGAGCUUGCAUCUUCACCAUAGAGGUAUCAAAUCGUUCUCCCUUUUCUGUUUUGGGUAAUAUUGGUGGUUUUAGGGUUUUCUAGCUUCUUUUAUGACNUAAACGAAAUGUAUUAUUAGGUUUUAAUUGGUUUUGAAACUCCUAGAUCUUUGAGAUUCAUUGAACUUUUCAAAGGCAUGUUUCAAUCUCGAGUGUGCCCUUCAGGUUUUGUGACUGGGAUGCCGAGGAUCACAAAACAAGGUGUGAAGUAACCAUGCAAAUCACUUGGUACCCUUAAUAAAUUACCCCUCAAUCGAUGUGCCGGUUAACCACACACGCUCCAUCGAUACUAUGAUAAAUAUUAAGUCACCCUUUACCUACCUUGUUAAGUCCAAGUUAGUGUGCCGGUUAACCACACACGCUCCACUAACGACUUAGACAAAGUGUAAAGUGUAAUUUCAUGGAUUAGCACCUUAUUCACAUUUUUCCUAAGUAACUAAGAUUGGGUAUUAUUAAGAGUUUAGUUACUUAGUAUUAUCAUUAAUACUUUUAAUGAAGGGAGAAUUCUAGUCCUGUCAAACCCGUUCGGCUAACGACCCUCCACCAGUCAAGCAAGCGGUGGGUGAGAGUGGACACCCAUUAAGUUGCCAUUUUAUAGGCAACAACCUUAUACCCACCUUAUAGACCGGCUUCGUGAAUGAGGCGUACUAGCGGUAAGACUGACUUUACUCUUAUACAUAUAUAUAUUAUUAACUUAUAAUAUUAUAAAGUAUAAGGGUUGAAUUUUAACUUUUAAAAUUCUAAGGGCUAACUUGGAAUUAAAGUAUUCAUAAGUGAAAACUUUACAAAUUCCAAAACUUGAGGGCAAGUUUUGAAACUAUUCAAAACUAAUUAAUUCCAUAACUUAUGUGUUUAAAGUAGUUUUAAUCCAAAAACUCUUCAAGUUCCAUAACUUGAGGACAAGUUAUGGAAGACUUUAAACUAAUAAAAGAAUUAACUUUUCUUUAUUUUAUAACUUAUGGAAUUAAUUAAGGUUACACCUUUUUUUAUUUUAUUUUAUUUUAUUAAAUGAAGAGACUCUUGGUCCUCCAUAACUUGAGGACAAGUUAUGGAGUCAUAAAACCAUUUAAUUAGAACUAGACUCUUCAUUUUUGUAACCUUUGCCAAUUUUUAUGAGUUUUAUGAUUCUUAAAUGUGACUUUUCAUAUAACUUGAGGACAAGUUACAAAAACACAUUUUAGAAUCAAUUCUUAGAUUAAUUUGGAUUAAAACCAACUAUCACAUAAUUUUAUUCAUUAAUCUAAAUUCACUCAUAAAACAAGGUAACACAAAAAACUUUUGGUGAUCCAUAACUUAUUCUUAAGUUAUGGAAUCCUUUAAAACAUUAACACCAAAUUUUGUAACUCCAUAAAAACUUUGAAUCAAUUUUUUUUAAAACCUUUUCAUAUCCAUAACUUAUGGAGGUUUCAAAAAAAAACUCUUUAGAUCAAACUUUUAAAACUAAUAAAAUAAUCAUUUAAUUUUAUCUUUUACUAAAGUUGACCUAAUUCAACUCAUAUAGCAAAUGAUUCAAAUUUUACAAAUAAUUAGUUUUUCACAAAAACAAGUAAUUAUCUUAAAAUUUGACAAAUGUCAUGUUUUUUUUUCCUUUUUUUCAACUUUGAAAAUAAACAUUUGCAUCAAUAUAACAGAAAAGAACCCAUGUCUANUGGGUUAUGAGCAUUCUAACACUCCUAAGUGUACAUGCAACCCUAAAUACCUUGGAUCUAUGUUUUCUCUAUUAUACAUGCAAAUAUGAAUAUUCCAAGGUAUUACCCUAACUAGCAUACAAUCUUUUGAUACUUGGGUAAUAUAACAAGUUAGAAUAUGUACCUCUUGAUGUAGCUUGACUCCAUGAUGCUCGAGAGCCUAGUGCCCUAAGUGUGACUCCUCAAAUGGUUCACACAACAUAAUCAACGCUUGGAAUAACCAUGAGAAGAAGACACUUCAUGCUCAAAUCGGCUAGCCCUCAUACAAGUAUCACUAGUGCCAAUUUCUUGAGCUAAAGGGGUCAUUAUAUAGUGUGGCUAUUAGGGUUACACCAUGUGACUCAUGACUUUACCCAUUCCUUAUGCUCCAUGGGUUUUAACCUCCAUGGAGUAUCCAUGGGUCACCACAUGGGUUAAACCCAACAUAAGGAAUCUUGGAUCAUAAGCCCACAUAUAUAAGAAUGAAUGAUUUACACAAUCAAUCCCCAUAUAUUUAAUUAGUAUCUUUUUGAUCACUAAAUUAAGUACAAAUUAAUUCUUGAUCAAUACUAAUUAAUUAACAUGAUUUCAUAUUAAUGUAUUAGAACUUAUAAUAUAUUAAUAUGUCACAAAUAUCCUCUUCUCACAAAUGGUCUAUCCAAAUGUUCUGUUGCCAUGCAACCCAAAUGGACCAUGCCGAGUCGGGUCAAGUACAUACGAAUUAUAGUUAUGGACUUAGACACUAAUCCAACAGGGAUAACGAUUCUUCACCGUUAACUUGUUUAACUCCCAGUAAUCAAUGCACAUUCGGUGUGAACCAUCUUUCUUCUUGACGAAGGGUAUCGGGGCUCCCCACGGAGAACUGAUCGGUCUGAUGAACUGCUUGCCUAACAACUCCUGAAGCUGAGAGGAAAACUCCUGCAUCUUAGGCGGUUCCAAGCACUACGAUGCCUUGUUAAUCCGAGCUGCACCUACCACUAGACCAAUACUAAACUCAACCUGCCUCUUGGGAGGCACACGGGGUAACUCCUCCGUGAAAACAUCAGGAAACUCCCUGACAAUUGGAACCUCUGAAACUGAAGUUUGCUCCCUAACCCGAGUAUCAACCACAUAAGCCAGAUAACCCACACACCCAUGCUGAAUAUACUGUUAAGCCCUGGUUGCUGAACAAAACCCUAAACCAACCCUGGUGCCCUCUCUAUAGAUAACCAGUUCUCCCCCACUUGGGGUUUGAAAUACCACUCGCUGGCCCUUGCAAUCGAUCAUGACACCAAACCUACUCAGCCAUUCCAUACCCACUAUCACGCAGACAUAUCCUAUGGGGAUAGGGAUCAAAUUAAUCGGAUUCACACCCCGAAGAUCUCCAAUACACAACCCUGAUACACUGCGAAUGCAGAAACCCUGUGUUUGUUGGCGAUAGAAACCCGCAACAGACACUCUAACUUCCCAAUAGGCAUACCGAACUCUUUACUAAAUGAUCAAGACAUAAAAGACCGACUUGUUCCUAAGUCAAAUAACAUAAGAGUAGGCAAAGAGUUCACUAAGAACAAACCUAUUAGGAUCAUAAACAUGAGCAUACAUAAAACGUAACCAAAAGAAUAAUAAAUAGAAACAUACCGGUCAUGACAUCUGGUGUUGCCCUGGCCUCCUCUUCCGUGAGAUGGAAAGCAUGACCUCGAGCCCUCAGGGGAUCCGCCCUUCCCUGACUCCGAUUUGUGAUCCUGAGAGUAGCCGACACUGGAACCUGCACCGGCCUAGCAUCAAGCAAGGGGCAUUGGGCCUUUAUAUGGCCCACUCGAUCACAAUGAUAACAAAUCUUGAUGUCGGAUACCGGAGCUUGCUGCCGUCAGUCCCUCGCAAUAUGGCCCUUUUUGCCACAUUUGUGGCAUCCCGAAGAAGAUCGACAAGCUCCAUCAUGAACCAUGCCACACUUUCCUCGUGUAGAGCUUCAUCUCAAUCUCCCACUGCCUAGUGGCCUUCUGUAACUCCAACAAUAAAUGAUAACUCUACAUGGAUACAAAUUGUCAGAUAUAUGUCGUGAGCAUGCUGAAGUACCGGGUCAUCUGAGCUUUCUCAGAAGCAUCAAACUUAGGGCAAAACAUGGCUCCCCCAUAAACAUCUUUGUGAUUUUCGUCACCAACUUAGUCCCCUGUCUCAAAUCCAAUUACUCCUGGGCUAACCUCUCCCGCUCCACCAGUGGAACGUAUCUAGAAUGGAACAUUUCAAAGAACUGCUCCCAAGUCAUUAUUGUCAUCUGCUCAGUAGAAUACGAGCUAAUAAUAAGUCUCCACCAAUCCUUCGCUUCAGACCGAAGAAGGUUAAGAGCGCGCUUGACCUUCUGGUCAACUGGGCAAGAGCAAGUGAAGAAGUAUCCCUCAAUGUCAUACAACCACCUCAUGGCUAUGAUCGGACCCUAAACUCCAUCAAAUGUCGGGGGAUUCAUAUUGUCGAAGUCUCGAUACUGGAAGGUUCUCCUAAUGCCAAUCUUGGCAACAACAACGGUUCCGGUGGCUACAACAACAACAACCUCAUAAAGUGCAGCCCGAUCGUCAAAUAACUCCAUCAUAGCAGUCUUGAUAGACCCAAAUAGAUGUGGUAUCUGACCCGGAACAAUGGAAAUAACCUCCUCUCGAAUAGUCUCCAUAACCUGAUCCUCAGUCAAUCCCGACCCAUCCUAGCCACAUGUCCUUGAUCCUGAUCUAGAUCCUGCCACAAAUCGUCUUGUAAUCGCCAUACUAAAAAUAAACAGUGAGAUAUUAGAUAAAACACAUAAAACACCAUGGGGACCGAUUCCCAACAAAACCCUAUGGGUUGUAACUUCCCUGCUAAGUGUACGAGUCUUGUGCUUCCAGUAGUACGAGCCCAUACUACCUUCCACACCUACCCAUAUUUGUCUUAGAGGAUCAUCACCACAACCUUAACAAUGCACACUAGAAUACGCAUACACUCUAUCCUCAAUUCCUAGAGGAAGGAUAACAUUACGCAACUGGUCGACUGACCCCAUACAAAUUAUCCAUGAAAUUUCCACCAACGUUGCAACACUCGUGUAUGCUAAUCAUACGUAACACUGGACCCUAUUGACAGUCGAAUACUUGAUUCAACCCUAAUCCCUUUAUCAAACAAGAAUAUGAAAUAAGGUUAAACCAAACAUUCUCAGGCUAUAGAAUCUUAGUUAUGUACAAAUAUGAUGCCUAGACUAAGCAACUACAACUAUGAUGCCAAUUCCAUAAAAGAAGGAAACCCUAGGCUACCAGACAUCAUAUAAUCAGGCAAUUCUAUCAUGCAAUUCAUGGAGAUCCUUAUCCUAUCACUAGCAUGUUGUUCUAACAUAUCACAAUAUCAAAUAACAGUGUGAUAAUUUGGGGCCUACUUAUUGGCUCUGGUUGAUCGUACACAUCGCAUCCUCUUUGAUUAUUUUGAAAACAGUUUGAAAAUCAUUUUUAAAACCUUUUUCCUCAGUUUGAGACUAUAUUCACACGAGUGUUCCUCCAGUUCACUCAAACCAAGGCUCUGAUACCAACUUGUAACAUCCAUAAAAAUCAAAAGAAAUUCAAACUUUUUUAAAACAACUCCAAAUCAUAGAAUGUUUACAAAAUAAUUGUUUUCAAAGUAUUGUUCCAUAUUAGAGUAUCCCAUAGAUCAAAAGUACACAAAACCGAGGAUGUGUACGGUCACGCCUUCGCCUUCCCGCGGUCAUCUAACAUUCCUGAAACCACAACUAAAAACCAUAAGCCAAAGCUUAGUGAGUUCCCCCAAAGUACCAACACAGAAACAGAUAACAUAUACAAUAACAACAUGUUGGGUCCAAUCAACCAUCACGUUGGAAUACCCUAGGACCAAUUAACCAUCCGGUUGGAAUGCCAAUAUACUAUGGGUCCAGUCAACCAUCGGGUUGGAAUACCUCAUGCCCAAUCAACCUCCGGGUCUAGUCAUUAUCGGGAUGGAAUACCCCAGGUUGGAAUGCCAAUAUACAACAGGUCCAGUCAUCCUCAGGAUGGAAUACCCCCAGGCCCAAUCAACCAUCAGGAUGGAAUGCCCCCUGUCUGUUGGCUCACACACAAAGCAGUAAAGCCUCAACCACUAACCAAAUUUAUGCACAUAUAACAUAUAAACAUAUAAUCAGUCAACAGACAAUCAGACAGAUCUAAAGAUCACUAAGCAUAACAUCAUCCUAUCUACCAUGAUACAAAUAACUACAGAAUGAUAACAUACUAUCACAUAACAGGAUAUCUAAUCCAAUGGGUCGGCCUUGGUGCCUUUGACCCAUAAGUACUGGGAAGAAAAACUCACCUUACAGACUGAAUAAUAGCUGAUGUGAUCCCGAAUCUGAAUCUCAGAUCUAACCGUCACCAAUCCAACCAAAUGUUCAAUCUCAAUCAAAAUCCCAAAAUACCCUUAAGUCAAACUUGGUCAAAGUAAAAGUCAAACUGGUCAAAUCAACUAAGUCAAUCCAGCUGAGUCAACUCAGCCGAGUCACCACAGAGUGAGAUCGCGGGGCGUACUCCAAAUGUAUGAUGGGCACACUCGAAUGUUGACCACCAUCAUGGUGGUUGACCUCGUACGUGGGGUGUACUCCAAGUACACGGGGCGUACUCCCAGACUCCCAAAAUCCAUAUUAAGAGCUUAAUGACUUAAGCUCUCACGUCCAUCUCUUAGAUUUAUGGCUAAAAUACCCUAAAGAGUCAUACUGUUUCCAACUUUAUGAGUUUCCAUGUCCAUUAAAUUCUUAACUCCACUUCUUACUCCAUUAAGAUCUUCUAAAUGAUGCAUGGAGCAAAACAAACCGUUUGGAACCCAUUUUUACGACUCAAGAACCUUCCAAAGGUUUGGCAGGACAACUUAAUGGGUAAAGAACAUGCUAUGUUCAUGAAUCUCCACAUAUGGUAAAAAAAGGACCAAAAACCAUUCCAACACAAGAUCUAAAUGAAACUUCACCAAGUUCAGAACUUGAUACCUCAAACUGGUGCCAAAAGGUGGUGUGAUCCUGGAUUCAAAGAGCUUCACUCCUCCAAGGUGGCCUCUCCUUCCUUCCUUCUUCUUCAAGAGCACAAAAAACACACUCUCAAGCCUAUAAAUGCUUCACAAGAGGGAUUAGAGUUGCAAAAACGUGUCAAGAGGAUGGAUGCUAAUGAGGUGAUGGGAAGUGAGGCUAUAAUGGGUUUAAAUAUAAGACAAACCCUAAAAAUUAGGGUUUGGAUGACUGGCACAGACGCCUUACGUACUUAUGUACACCCACUAUACUAGGGCGCGCCCUAGUACGCUCAGCGUACACAUGUAUGCAUGACGUAUUGUCUCAACCUCCAAUAUUACGAAAAUAACACUAGGGCCUUAAUUGCACACUUUCUUACACUUAGGUUCAGAAUCGCAAUAUAAUAAAAUUAUAGGGUCAAAAUUCGAAGUACCUUAUCAUUAGGAUGUUACAAUCCAAGUACAUCAGAGUAAUAUAAAAUGUGGAACAAUGUGGUGUGUGCACUGCAAUCAUCCCGAGUUGUUCCCCUUCGAACCAGAAGUACCUGAAACAUAAAUUAAAAACCAUAAACAUAAAGCUUAGUGAGUUCCCCAAAAUACGACAUACCAUACAUAUCAAACAUAUAAUGGGCCCCGCCCAACAUCAAGCCCCGAUUGGAACAGAUCUGUCAGUCAUCAGGCCCCAUCCGAUAUACAUACUAACAUAAACACAUGCAUAAGAAUCACAAAGAUAAAUAUCAUACAAUAUAAUCAUCAGGCCUCGCCCGACAUUGGGCCCUGCAUGGUAUACAUAUAAAAAACCAAAACACAUGCAAGAGUCACGCAGUCAACUAGCAUCCUAAACAUAAUAAACCAUGGGCCGACAUUGGUGCCUUCGACCCGCUAAACACAAUGAGAAAACUCACCUCUAGCUCCUAAAUCUCUCAGAUAAAAUCUCGAUAUGUUGAUUCGGAAAAUUCCCGCUAUCAUUAUCAAUAAUAUCCAAUUAAUAGUUGGAUCUCGACCCAAAAUCAAGAAUCUAAAUUACUUAUCCAACAUCCAGAGUAAAAGACCAUUUUACCCUUUUUCUUACUUGGCUCAAAACCAAGGCUCAACCCAUUUACUUAAAAGGCCCAAAUUCCUUACUGACAUUCCAAGGCCGAUUAUGGACCAAAUUCCUAAUUGGGUCCAAAAUCAACAUGGACCUAAUCCCAAGAAGGUCCAUAAUCCAUCCAUGACCCAAGGUCAGAAGUCCAAUGGCCCAACCAGGCCCAAAUCCUAAAAGCCGAAAUUAACUCCGAGUCCAAAAGCCCAAACGACGAAAGCCCACUGUACCGAGUACGCUCGACGUACUCCUCGUACGUAUGGUGUACGAGCGUUGAAUCGAGAGCGGGUGGUUGACCCAGUACAUGCGGCGUACUAGGGAUUACGCCUCACGUACAGGCCAAAGUCCCUUUUGGCCAACUUUGUCUUAACCAUUUAAGCUCUUAACGUCAAAACCUCAUAUCUACUUCAUUUCAAGGCACUAAUGCAUAUAGUUGGCAACUUUAUCAUCUUGCAUGUCUUAAUGGAAACCUAAAACCCUAUUUUGUCCAUUAAGACCCAUAAUAAGGGCUCUAACUGAUGCAUGGACUAAUAUGCUUCAUCAAGAAGGCACCUUUUUACGCAAGGAACAUCAUAGGUGUUAAGAUCUAGCAUCCUAGCUCAUGGAGGAACUCAAACUCCCAAAAAAAUCCGAAAGACCAUAAUAAGCUAAAGAACAAGCCCUAAUCUCAAUAUAACACAAAGAGGUUCCAAGAUGAGAACUUUAUACCUCUGGAGGUAGCAAACUUGAUGAAGAUUCUGGAUCUACAACCUCAAGUCCAACCAAAUCUUGGUCACUAAGCACCAACUUCUUCAAUGCACACAAAACAACACAAAAUUACUUCCAAAGCUCAAAAACCACACUAUGGGAGGCUAGGGUUUCGAUCUUAGUGUAUUGGGGAGUGGAGGUUGACCAAAGGAUACAACCAAGGCAAUAUAAGUUUCUUAAAUAGGACACAAACCCUAAAAAUUAGGGUUUGCCCCUGAUUAGCAUACGCCUAAUAUACAUGGGCAAACCAACAUUCCUGAGACGAGCUAGUACACUAAGCUUACUCAUGGAGUACGCCCCGCGUACUAGCUAGGGACCAAAAAGAUACAGAUUUUGCAUUAGGGGGUUAAAAGGGAAACAUACCAAAUCUCGAAUGUUACAAUUUGAAGCUCUAAACACUAACAAUUAUGAUCUCAAAUUUGAGUGAUAAUAGAUGGAAUUGAUACUUUAAUUAGAAUUAGAAUGAGUUCAUAUAUUCUAAUUGAUCUAAUAAAACCAUCAACUAUAGACAUGAGUAUCUAUGGAGUUAGUUUGAGAUAUUAAUCUUAUCUAAGAGAUCCAAUGAAGUUUUAGGUUAUGCAAUUGUAUUUGAAUUGUUAUCACUUCAUAGAAAUGCUAUAAAUCUUUCUUAUAAAAUUUACUUUAUUAAUGUGAGAUGAGUAUUUAAGUUUAAUAUGAAGAUUAUAGUUCACUUAAAAGUUCAUGUAACAUUGUUCCUAAUCAAAAUUUAUAGUUUUAAAAUCAUGAAAUCAUCACAUUUGAAUCAUAUAUCUUGUGUAAUGAUGUUUUAAGGUCAUGAUAUCAUCAUCAAUGCAAUACACAUAUAAAAACUCUAAUUAGCAACCAUUUUAAUGUUUUAAAGUCUAAAAAUGAAGUUUCCGAAAUGAUUAUUUUCAUCCAUGAUACAAUGGUGUUAACGAUUAUAUGAGAACACUAAAACAUGUGUAAUUAAGGUUAGAAAGUGGUUUAAUCAUUAGAAACCAUUAAAAUGACGUUUAAGGUGUUAAAAUAGGAUUUAUCACAACAGGUUAUUGUUUUUUUACCUUUUCUAGUGUCAAUUGUUAUUCAUACUGGCUGAGUGAAAUCCUUUCAAAAUUUACAUGGGUCAUGUACCCUACUAACUACAACUCAUAAAAACUUUAUAACUUGAUCUUGGUGCAUCGAGAAAGGCAUUCAGUCACUUUCAUUGUUGCUUUAGGGAUAAGGAAUGAAUGUUAAAGGGUUUAGAUGAGUUACUAACUAUAGUAACAUACUUAGAAUAUCAAUGAGUAAAUUAGUGUUAAUUAUAUGGAUUAUUAUAGUUGUAUAUGUGCUUGAAGUUCCUUAUAUUUUUGAAUAAUUCAUUGGAGGAUAUACUAGGAAAUUGAGGCAAGUUAUACCGAGAGUACAUGUCCUUAAACCCUUACCUUAUAUUUUGAUCUUUGUUAUUGGUUUAAUAUAUUCUCAAUUUCUACGUUUUUACUAUAAGUACUUGUUUGCAUUCAUGAAAAAAGUAGAGUAACUAUUUGAUCUGAUAAAAGCAUAUGCUUAUUUGAAAUUGUUUUGAAACAACCUUAAUAAUGGUUUUUGAUAUAAUAUAUCUAUGAAUUUUAUGUAUGUACUAUAAGUACUUGUUUGCAACCACGAAAAUCAUUUUGGAGUAGCUAGUUGAUUUAAUAAAGGUCUAUGUUUAUUUAGUAUUUUUUUUUGGGUAUCCUAAUUAUGCAUGCACAUAGAAUGGGAUGACUUGAGUAUCCACAAGACUUAGGAGUCAUUUAUUUAUUCAAAUACCCAAAAGGGUCAAGAGUAGGAAUUCUAGAAAGCCAUGACAUUCUUGAUGGGAUUUAUAGGUUACAAAAAUCAUAUUUCGGCGGAAAAACUUAAAUCCUAAGUUCACAUGCAACCUAAAGGAUCUAUGUUUUCACUAUUGAAUUUAAUAACUAAUUGAAUAUCAAUAAUCCUAUAAGACCCCUAGGUAUUUCGAAAUAGAAAAAGGGUUUCAAAUUACAUACCUCUUGAUUAUACUAGUAGAUAAUCAAUCAUAAUCCUGCUUGAAGUUACUUGGAAGCUAGCACCAGAAAUCAUGUGCCCCUGAAGGUUCACACCCAACCCUAACAACAAGGAGGCUGAAAGAGAAAGGAGAAGGGAUAGAGAAAUUUUGGCUAUCCUUAGGAAUAAAGAGAUUGCCAAAAAUCAUAGGUUGAGGGGUCUUUAUAUACUGGAUUUAGGAAACCCUAGAUAACCCUAAUUUGAAUAAAAUAAUAUUAAUUCAAAUUGGUAAUUACCCAACUUCUUAUUUAUCUGUAGGGAAUAUUUCAGAAACCAUGGAAUAUCCCUAAUUUCGUCCACCCUUCCAUGAAAGGUUCUGGAUCCCUAAUUUGUUCAACUAUUAAACAAUUACACUUCAGCCAUUGCACUUGUAAUUAAUCCAAUUAAUCCUAAAAUUAAUUCCAAUUAAUUUCUGAUUAAUUAUUAACUAAAUAAUACUAUUUCUAAUUAGUAUAUUAUUUCCAUAACCUAUUAAUAAAUUCAUUUAUUGCUAUUUAUUAAUCAUAUAAUAAAUCAAUAAAGCAGUCUCUCUCUCUCUCUCUCUAAAAGUCAUCAUAUUCAAUUACUAGGUCUGAGGGCAACCCAAAAGGACUUUGCUAAUAAUUCAAGUAUAUACUAAUUCAGUUAUUGGUUUAGAUACCUAAUCCAAUAGCCUCCCACUUGGAUAAGUCUAUAACUAUAAUUACCAGUAUAGCUUCUAAAUUAGACAUCAAAGAGUGCUUCCAUAGCAACUGUCGAACUCUGAACUGACCAGACAUUGUCCCUAAGAUAAGUGAUCAAAUAUUACUUCAUUCUACUAGAUAUCAUAUAUACAUGAGACAUGGAUUUGAAUCAAUCUCAUUGUCCAAAAUAUUGUUUCUCAAUUUAUGAUUUGUGAUGACGACAUAAGACUUCAAAUUGAACACAUCAAUUGAGUCCUGGCUGGGCCCAACACUAUAAGUCAACACCAAAUCACUGAGGGGCCCAAAGAUAUUGCUUUUCUCGUCAAGGAAAAAGGAACGAAUAAAAUUUGACUUUUAUGUCUGUAUCCUUUACUCACCAAAUCAUACAUGAUAAUGCGUUUUAUAAUAUCAUGUUACUGACGUGUUUUCACAAUACCAAUGCACAACCGACUUGUAAAUUACAACUCAUAUAUCUACUUUUUAAUAAUAUAAGAUAUUAUCAUC